GCAGCAGCUGGACUGACGGGAUUGGUACUCUGGAAUGAUGUGUAGAGUGUUCCCAGGAAUGGUGCUGUCCCUCUGUGUCACUGCGAGAAUGAUGACAAAUCCACAGGUUAUACUCAGUCCGGAUCCAGUGAGGGUCGCAGUGGGCAGCUCAGUGCAGAUACAGUGUGCAAUUGUGCACGGCAGUGUGCAACAUCUUGGUGUAACGUGGAAUAGUAACCACGGUGAGAUCCUGACACAUUCCCAAUCUGAUGGGGUUACCCGAGAUCACACCGAAAAUGAGAAAGUACAAUCUUACAGAGAUCUCAGACACAACAGCUACAUCCUCACCAUCAGAGACAUGGAGGCCAGCAACAGUGGACGUUAUCACUGUGACAUUGUUGGAAAGAACACGCUCAACAGCGUAAACACUGUCACGGUAUCUGUACAAGGCAGAGAUUUUCCUGUCCCAGCUCAGUCACCGAUGCUGAAUGUCAGAGUGAGUCAGACUGCUGCGGUAAACUGCUCUGUGCCGGGUAUCGAUUUGGAGAAGACUGAUUUACACUGGCAACGACGUAACCUGACAGGGUAUCAGUGGGUUGUGUCACACCGUGCUAAUGGCAUUGUGGAAGUGAAUAAACAUUUUCAGGGACAUUUUAAUUCUACCAGCGAUAUCGCCAGUCGUGUUGCCACUCUAAUAGUCACAAACAUUCAACCUGAAGAUGCAACUGUGUAUUACUGUAAAGUGUGGGGUGAUGUGUAUGGGAACGGAACCCAGAUCAAUAUCAUCGAAACCUGGGAUCCAGAUUUAUUCCCUAUUUUCCUGGGCCGUCUGUUCAUUCUCCUACUGUUUCUGGCCAUUGCUGUCAUCGUUUUGCUCCAUGUAAACCAAACGGCAUGCUUCACCAAAACAUCAAGAUAGUGCAGAGCCUAAAGCACAUCCUGGUUUCUGAGGGUGAAAGGUAGCAGGUAUCGAGAGAAAGGAAAUUCCCACAUUUCACUUUAACUGGUCACACUGUCUGAGCAUUGGUUUGCUGGGCCCUGAGAGAUACAACAGACAGAACGUUGAUGUUGCUGCGGCACCAAGAAGCUCUGUACCUGAAAGGACUGCAUCUUCCGUUUCUGGCGUUGUUUAAUGUGCUCCAACCUCAAAGAGAUCUGUGUCUGAGGGACAUUGCAUUGUCUUUUAGGUCUAACCCCAGCCCACAAUCCACCAGCUGCGGCUCCUAUUGUGGAGGAUGACGGAGAGAUGCAUUACGCUGAACUACAAAUGGGAAAGGUCACUCAGCACCAGCAGGCCACGGUCACAGUCAGUGAUACAAACUCGGAGUAUGCAGUUGUCAAACACACAUAGUCACCUGGAUGUAUCCAUCGCUGUUGCUGCAGGCAACAGAUUCUCUCAAAGCUAACCUGCCCUAUUUUUGAGCAGCAUUGAGGUGCACUGAGACCCUAUUAAACCUGAGAUUACUGGGCACUCAGACGCUCCCAGACCCUAAGAUUACUGGGCACUCAGACCCUCCCAGACCCUGAGAUUACUGGGCACUCAGACCCUCCCAGACCCUGAGAUUACUGGGCACUCAGACCCUCCCAGACCCUGAGAUUACUGGGCACUCAGGCCAUCCCAAACCCUGAGAUUACUAGGCACUCAGACCCUCCCAGACCCUGAUGUUACUGGGCACUCAGACCCUCCCAGACCCUGAUAUUACUGGGCACUCAGACCCUCCCAGACCCUGAGAUUACUGGGCACUCAGACGCUCCCAGACCCUGAUAUUCCUGGGCACUCAGACCCUCCCAGACCCUGAGAUUACUGGGUACUCAGACCCACCCAGACGCUGAGAUGACUGGGCACUCAGACCCUCCCAGACCCUGAGAUUACUGGGCACUCAGACCAUCCCAGACCCUGAGAUUACUGGGUACUCAGAGCCUCCCAGACUCUGAGAUUACUGGGUACUCAGACCCACCCAGACCCUGAGAUCACUGGGCACUCAGGCCAUCCCAGACCCUGAGAUUACUGGGCACUCAGAUUCUCCCAAACCCUGAUGUUACUGGGUACUCAGACCCUUCCAGUCACUGAGAUUACUGGGCACUCAGACCUUCCAGGGAGCUCCGUCUCAGGACAGGGGGCAAGUCCUUUUGAACUGAGAUGAGGAGGAAAUUCCUCUUGGUUGAAUCUUUGGAAUUCUCUUCACCAGAGGCUGUGAAAACUCAAUCUUUGAGGAAAUUCCAGAUUGAAAUUGCUGGGUUUUGAGUUUCUACUGGUUUAUGUAGAUUAUGGAUGGAUAUGGUGCUGAGGUAUAGGUUUAGCCAUGAUCAUAUUGAACAUACCAACAUCCCUCAGUAUCUGAGAUAAUGGAAACUGCAGAUG